ACGAACGUGCGGUCCCUGUGGAGUGCGGAGGCGGGAGUGUACAGGGGGGUGUGCGGGGGGGUCUUCUGUGAAAGAGGGCUGCGCCCCAGUGUGCUGACGCGCGAAGUCAGGAGGAAAUUAUUUCCCCCGGAGCCCGCGUUCAUUCAGCGUGCUCUCGCCUCUGCGCGAUUGCUUUCUCUGUUCACUGGACGGCGGCUGAAGAGCCCCAAGCGUGAACUCGGCCUGGGCAGUGGUGGCUCGGAAACCCUUGGCCUUUUGCAUAAAGCGGGUAGGGUGGGGGCAGGGAGCGGACAAAACCAAACAAACCCGGGAGCUCCGGCCCAAGCCGACUUUUGCACCUCCUGUAGCACGCCCUGCGGCCCCGGGCCCCUGCUCGUCGGGAGCCUCCCGGGACCACGGGGACGGCUCCACCCCAGGGCAGCGGCGUCCAGCUGGCCCUGGGCCUUGACUGCGGGGAAAAUGUUCUCGAGAGAUGCUACGUCCCGGUAGAGAGAUUUCGCUCCGCUUUUCACAGCUGGCGACUUUUGUUAUUAGAGAUGCAGCUCCAUUUUUAAAACUAAUUGUUGCCACAGAUAGGCGACUACACCUCUGGAAGCAGCAGCUCCAUGCUAGAUGUGGUGGAAGAAUCUAGAGGGAAUGGACUGGAAAUUUGGAAUCACCGGAAAAUAACUCAAGGCAUCGCUAAGCUGUGACUAACAAGAUAAAUGAUUUGUUCGAGGUU